UGAUUUGGGAGCUGGCUGGUGGACACACACACACAUUUCUGAUUACGAAAGUAAUGUGUUCAUUGCACAAACUUAGAAAAGUACCUAUGACCCAAAUGCUUCCAAGCACCUUCUUGAUGGGCAGGUGUGCUAGUGUUUUUCUUCUUGAUGGGCAGGUUGCUAGUUUUUUGUUGUUGUUGUUGUUGUUGCUGUGACCUAACACAUGACAAGAAGCAGUUUACGAUAGGAUGGAUUUAUUUGGGGUCAUGGUUUGAAGGUGUUGACUAUCAUGUUCGGGGCACAGCAGAACUGUUCAUGGAUUAGCAGCAGAACUGGGGAGCUGUUUGUUCACAUCUCAGUGAACCAGGAAGCAGAGAUCUAGAAAUGAUGGCUGUCUUCCAGCUUCUCCUUUUUCCUGUUUGUUUGGCCUUGGUCCCCAGUUGGUGGGAUGGUGCCAUGAUCAAGGUGGGUCUUCCCACCUCAGUCUCUCUGGAAACACCCACAGAUGAAUCCAGAAGUGGGUCUUCCAGAAAAUUCUAAAUAUAGUCUCACUAACAGUGAAGAUUGACUAUCACUCCAUGUAACCAGAGUCUGGGCACAAUCCCAUACACAACAACCUUGGUCCAAUACAGAGAGAGAAGCCACAGAAAAAUUUAAAUUAAUAUGAAGAAGCGUUAGCCUCAAUGAGGCUUCCAGUCAUGAGAACUGACUAGUAAGAAGGAAAACCAGAAGAAAACAGAACUGGCAGGUGCCACGACUCAAACAGUGGUGGAGGGGUGUCCUUAGAACUCUGGGGCUACAAGAGGGCACUGUUGGGACAGUCACAUUUGAACUGAGUUCUGAAGGAAUGGCUGAGAAGUGGACCUGUGCAGAUCAAGGGCCCUGAGGCUCUCUACUGUGGGGGAAGCAGCCAGGACACUCUGAAGAAGGCAACUCAGUUCAGAGUGACAGGAGAUAAAGACAGAGAAGCUCGCAAAAGCCAGCCACAGGUGGGCAUGUGGAUGUGAAGGACUUGGGACAUUAAUUCAUCAAUAAAAGACACCCCUGCAAAAGGGUUUCAGUGCUAUCAGUUGGAGGGUACAUUCAAGAAGAGUCUACUUGGGAGACUUAUUGGGAAACCAGACCACGCCAGUACUGAGGACAGAGUUGAGCUUGGAUACUUAGGAGAUAACAGGUGUGCAGAAAUUAUGUAUAGCCAUAUCCUGGUUAAUGGGCCCUAGACAGAUACUGUGGAAUGAAGAGAAAUUAAAAAAAAAAAAAAGUGAAGGCAGGUUAGCAA
rnacentral:lncRNA from 1 species